GUUUGUUUCAGCUUUUCUGAGUAGCGAUUCUCUGAAAAUCUAGCUGGCCUGAAAAGCUGCUGUCCCCAAAAUCUGCUGGAAAGAGAAGCAGAGUGUUUGGCAGCCUGAUUCUCUGUUAGAAAAUUAUCUAUGCUGAGUGUGUAAUGACCUGUAUGCCCCUGAGGGUGAUAAUACCUUAUUUUGUUGCUAAAAAAGUAGAGAAUGCAAUAACUACAUUAAUGUUUGC
rnacentral:lncRNA from 1 species